GGUGUGUCCAUGCUCUGGCCUCAUCACUGUCACCAUAGGUGUUAAGGCUCUUCUCAAUGUAAAGAUGGAUGUACCUCUGGAGGGGCUGCAAGAGACAUUCACACAUUAGUCACAAUGAUGCAACACAGUUUACUAAAGUUCAGCCUUUACUUUAAACUAGAAAAUUAUGGCUACUAGCAAAAUGAAGAUACAAAUUUGAACGAAAAAGUUUCUCUGUGACAAUAUUAAAAAAUUCCAGAAUUUAUAUCAACAAAGACUGACCAGAGGACAAGGUUGUUUCCAGCAUUCUGUCUGCUACCAGCUCUAGCCAACAGUUUCUUCCAUGAACUUAUGAGAGAUUUCCUGUCACUGUCAACAUUUAAUAAUACUUUUGUCAACUCAAAGAAUAAAGCAGUGUCAUAAAACA